rnacentral:rRNA from 1 species
UACGGAGGGGGCUAGCGUUGUUCGGAAUUACUGGGCGUAAAGCGCGUGUAGGCGGCAGGGCAUGUCGGAUGUGAAAUCCCGUGGCUCAACCACGGAAGUGCACCCGAAACUGCCCAGCUUGAGUCUCGGAGAGGAAGGCGGAAUGCUUGGUGUAGAGGUGAAAUUCGUAGAUAUCAAGCGGAACACCGGUGGCGAAGGCGGCCUUCUGGACGAUGACUGACGCUGAGACGCGAAAGCGUGGGGAGCAAACAGG